rnacentral:rRNA from 1 species
UACGUAGGUGGGAAGCGUUAUCCGGAAUUACUGGGCGUAAAGCGCACGCAGGCGGUCUUUUAAGUUUGACGUGAAAGCUCCCGGCUUAACUGGGAGAGGUCGUUGAAGACUGGAAGACUUGAGGCAAUGAGAGGGGUGUAGAAUUCCCGGUGUAGUGGUGGAAUGCGUAGAUAUCGGGGGGAAUACCAGUGGCGAAAGCGGCACCCUAGCGUUAGCCUGACGCUCAUGUGCGAAAGCGUGGGGAGCGAACGGG